CUUUCGAAAAAGAGAUUAUAUUAUCAAAUCAUCAUUUCUUUGCCGACUCUUCUUCGGAAGUUGUCCCCCAAUCCUUCAAUCAUCCAGAAAUCAUGUUGAUCACUUCCGUCGUUGGUCGAUUAUUGAUCAUUUUCUCAGCUUGUAGCUGAGGCUGUUGGUCGGUGGGAGGUUGAGUCGGACGAUCUCAUUAAAAUUUUUUGAGGUAGCCACAUC
rnacentral:lncRNA from 1 species